UCGUUAGUUAAUGGGUCUUGCCACUU
rnacentral:piRNA from 1 species